GACGAACGCUGGCGGCGUGCCUAAUACAUGCAAGUCGAACGCACUCUCGUUUAGCUUGAUGGUGUUUGCUUCUGAUUGAUCAACAUUUGAGUGAGUGGCUGACGGGUCUGUAACACGUGGGUAACCUGCCCUAACGUGGGCUAUUACAGUUGGAUAUAGUUGCUCAUACCGCUUAAUACCUAACACCGCUUUUGGUAGGGUUGAUAGAUGGUUUCGGCCCUCAUUUGCGGAUGGAUCCGCGGUGCAUUAGUUAGUUGGUGAGGUAAAGGCUCACCAAGACGACGAUGCGUAGCCGACCUGAGAGGGUGAUCGGCCACACUGGAACUGAGACACGGCCCAGACUCCUACGGGAGGCAGCAGUAGGGAAUCUUCCACAAUGGACGAAAGUCUGAUGGAGCAACGCCGCGUGAGUGAAGAAGGUCUUCGGAUCGUAAAACUCUGUUGUUAGAGAAGAAUGUAUCUGAUAGUAACUGUUCAGGUAGUGACGGUAGCCAAUCAGAAAGCCACGGCUAACUACGUG
rnacentral:rRNA from 1 species